UCCCUGAUGGUCCAGUGGUUAGGACUCCACGCUUUUGCUGCCGAGGCCCAGGUUUAAUCCCUGGUUGGGGAA